GUUUACAACUCCUUUUUUCUCUCUUCAAGUGGAAGGCAGGGAAGAUCAAAUGGAAUAGAACACUCUUCAUACUAUUUAUUCCAUUAUGUGCUUCCCUCUUCAAGAGCUAAGCUACUAGACUCAAAUCGUUUAUAGCAUCUCGUAUGGGACAUAUAUAGUCUUUACCCGAAUAGAGUACUUCAUUCUGACUUUCUCAUAGCAGGCAAUCCGUGCGAAAGGGCUCUCUCAUCUGCUAUUUGUACCAGAAGACGAAAGCAAGGAAUCCUAGACUUCCGAGACGAUAGGAGCGAGGCUGAGCGUUAUAAGGCGGCUAAGGCAAUCAGUUAAUCUCUUUCUGAAAUAGAUCUCCCUUCGUCUGGCUUAGCUCAUGGAAUAGUAGCUCUUCCGCUAUACUCUGGAGUGAAAGAAAAGCCCAGUUUUGCCCGCCUUAGUAAGACCCUCUUUCUGAGCCUUCCCCUCCUCCUUUUGAGUCAUCUUGGAUGAGAAGACAGAGACCUACUUCAUCGACUUUCAAUGUCCGUGUGGAAUGCAACUUGCUCGCUGAAGUGGAGGCGCUUUCCGGUAGCAGGGUUUGAUUCUCUUUUUACGAUUACNNNNNNNNNNNNNNNNNNNNNNNNNNNNNNNNNNNNNNNNNNNNNNNNNNNNNNNNNNNNNNNNNNNNNNNNNNNNNNNNNNNNNNNNNNNNNNNNNNNNCAGAGUAAUACUGCCCGGACUGUCUUCGUAACAGAAAAGCUUAGCUAGUGUCUCCCGUACCUAGAAAAGAAAAAGAGUGAGAAUUCUACAAACUUUACUUUGAUCAAAGAAAUUGACAACGGAAAGGUGAUAACUUGACAUCGCUAAAGAAUCAGUAAUUGACAGCAAGAACUAAGAAUCAAUAAAAGUAAAGUACCAAUUAGAUUGGCAAUGUGCGCUCCUGUGGGAGUCGAACCCACCGCAUAGGUGCCUUCUUCUACCGAGAGAUGAACUAAGGAACGGAAACCCCUACAUCUCUGAACGACCGAACAAUCUCUGAGCUCGGAGAAAGAAAAUUCGAAAUGAGCACACCGACGGACCAUGAAAACAUCCGAAAAACCCUGCUACGAAACUACUGAACAGUGGAAAAAAUACGAGAAAUAGAUACAUAUUUUACUUUUUUUCUAACUCAUGACCUUUAAGACUGGUUCUGAAUACCGUGAUGAGAAAGAAUCUCAUCUCUAACGAUAUUUUUUCUUCUUCUUUAUGAAGCCGAGAAAGACAGGUAAGAGAUGAAUUUAACAAAAACAGGGACAGAGAUAAGUUUUUCCUUGAAAUACGAGGAAGGUCGAUGCAGUUAGUACUUAGGAUGAGGCAAGUCCGAGCGAGGCAGCUAGGGAGACCUUUGAUCAACACCAUCUAAGAUAGGCUAAGCCUAAACCGCAUUGAAUCAAUAGAAUGACAUCCCUUUUCCAAGCAUUGGUGGGUAGUAGUAAGAUAGCCCGUUCUGUCUAUCUUAGGCAACUAGUUUGUCAUCCUCUCUUAGCCAAAAUCAAGGCGAAUACACGGUCAAUCACAUGGGUGGUUCAUCUCGAGAUUAGGAAAAAACCUCACUACGCUCGUAGGUCGGAAACUCCUGCUCGGUCGUAAAUCUCAUAUCAGUCGUUGCAUUUUAGCAGAUUUUCCUGCCAUUCUUCCUUCUCAUCAUAAUCCGGGAAAGAUUCCACCUUAACAACUACCACUUCUUCUGCUUUGUCUCUCUUCUUUCUCCUCAAUAGCAUAAUUUAGGGCUAUCGGUUUCGUUCUGUUCUGCAACAAAGGACGUCACUGAAAAUUUGGUAUAUAAAGAAUCGUUUUGUCUUUCUUCAAAAAAGUAAGAUAGUUUCUCCUCCGCCCAAGGGUGCUUUUUGAAAGAGCUUAACUAAUAGGGCACCGGUAGGCUAAGAACCUUUCUUACUUAUGAAGAAAGUUACAACUCUAGUUAAAUUGUAAGGGGAGAGACUCACUAUAUAUAUAUAUAAAUUAGAUUUCUCGAUGCUUUGAAUAGCGUAGUUUCGUACCCAACAAGCAAGGGAUGUGACUUUCUUUCUGAUCGUAGACCACUCUUGCUUGUUUGCUAAAGAGGCAAAUUCCGGGUCGUAGUAACAGUACGUAUCUCAGCGCCUAGAAGAAAGCUUUCACUGGCUUUUUUUACUAGAAAGAAAAAUUCCCAUUGAGAGCGAACUAAAGGAAUGGACGGGCGUAGGCUUAAUAGUGAAGGCAGACCCCCCUGCUGAUAGAUAUGAGAUCAAUGACUUAAAAGAAAAGACAGAUGUCGAGAGAAACUGUUAGACUUCUUUAUUGCGUUGCGAAGAGAGAUCGAAGACGAAGAUUUUCUGACGCAGUGCGGGCACUGGAUGGAAAAGACAGAUAAGAGAACAACCUACCGGAAGGGCAUACCUCAAGGAGCACCAAUCUCCCCCGGCAAACAUCUAUCUGCACGAAGCCGACCUAUGGAUAGAAAGAAAGAUGCAGGAAAGGAAAAUGAAAUAGAAAAGAGAAAGAUGCUUUGGGAGUGUGAGAUAAGCGGACGGGGAGUACGCAGCCGAACAACCGCAGGGGCUUCCAGCAGUGAUAGCUGAACUAACCAGAUGGGCCGCCCAAAACCUGGAGCUGACAUUGAAAUCGGAAAUCAACGUCGGAUCCCGGCUAUCCGAAAAACGCAGGCUGAAGCGGAGGAUCACAAAAUGCAACACAACAAGGGGCGAACCAAACGCUUGCGCGAAGGAAGAAGCUAAUCAAUCAGAAUGGAAGACAGCAUCGUGUGUCGAAGGGGAUCCAUGUUCCAGUAAUUGGUGUAAAAGAUAUGCUUUAUGGUCAAGGAAGAUAGGUUUCUUUCUGUCUUUCUUUCCGAAAAGAGAGACAUGGGAGUUCGACUCUCGUUCUAUCCAUGUUCAGCAGUCCUUGUCCAUGUUGGAACUGUUGAUGGCAGUACCAACUACGAGAUGCUUGAAAGUCGAUGUCUCAAUGUUCCCAAGAGUAGCAUCGAGCCCCGAAACGGCAAGCCAUGCUUCAAGCUAAGUCAGUCGGGAUCUAAUUGAUUGCUAAACUGAAGGCUGUCGAAGAUUCUCAUUCUGAACCUAUAACCUGCCUAGCUCUCUUCUUUUGGAUUGGAAGGAGGGGAUCAUACCUAUGGAAGAAGGCCCUGGGAACGACAUUCGAGCGAAGAACUAUACUGGAAAGCUGAAGCUUGCGAGAUUGCCCUUUCCCUGACUCGGCUAGGUAGGAAAUGACCCCGACCUGGCUGACUUGAUUGCUUGUUCCGUUCCCUGCUUCACCCACAAGGAGAGAAACUGGAAAGGCUAGCCUUCGCUCCGAGGGUUAGGAUCAAGGGUUGGUCGAGUUUGCUUUCGCUCCUUUUCCAUAAUAGAGAAUAGGGCAUGGAAGCUUUCUGCUAUUAGUAUUAGAGGAGAGUUUUGACUGCAAGGGAGGCAGGGGGAUUACGCGACUUACAACUCACUUCCUUAACCCCGAAAUAGCAACUUGGUUAUAGCUGACAGAAAGUAGAAACACGAAAACAAAAGGAAAAAGCUAGACUGCUGCCUUCGCCUUUGUCUCUGUCUCUGUUCGUUCGAAAGCAAGAGUUUCCCCCUCAACUAUGUUUCAAUCCUUUUUCAAAAUUGAUCUAAUUAGAGAAGUUCUCAUUCGAUGCUGAAAGUUGACUUCGAAAGAAAGGACUAUUAUGACCUCACUUAGAAUUUCGUAGAGAAAGAACACUUUCCUCAAUCNNNNNNNNNNNNNNNNNNNNNNNNNNNNNNNNNNNNNNNNNNNNNNNNNNNNNNNNNNNNNNNNNNNNNNNNNNNNNNNNNNNNNNNNNNNNNNNNNNNNAGACCGACUCUUUCAACCGCUCAGACAUCCAUCCCCUUCUGUUACCUACUUUGACUCAUAUCUUCGGUAUACCUCAAUACAAGACAAGCACAGGAAAGGAUAUUCAACCAAAACCGGGCUAUCGCCCUAUCUAAGCAGGUUGACCCUCUCCUCUACGGAAGUCCUUUUUUCAUCUAUUUCUUUCAGUUCCUGUGUCUAUCGCUAUCGCCCUAUUAUCUCUCAAUUGCCUAUCCUUUAUAGAUGAGGGGGAGGCCCCAUCACUCUGUCUCGAAGGCAGGUUAAGUCAAGUGUAAAAUAAGGGUAGUGCAUUAAGAAGCUGCAACUAUCGCAUCAGCUAGAGCGGCAUUAGGCAUUGGAAAGGUGCUUAAUUCCGAUAGCGAUUUUAGGCUUUCAGAGCGGGAGAGGAAAAGAAAGAUGAGACCGGCUACAGGAGUUGCAGAGGCUCUCGAACUUUCUGUGAUCACUAUACGGUGAUUGUGAAAUUGGGAUCUUGAGGGUUUACAACUCCUUUUUUCUCUCUUCAAGUGGAAGGCAGGGAAGAUCAAAUGGAAUAGAACACUCUUCAUACUAUUUAUUCCAUUAUGUGCUUCCCUCUUCAAGAGCUAAGCUACUAGACUCAAAUCGUUUAUAGCAUCUCGUAUGGGACAUAUAUAGUCUUUACCCGAAUAGAGUACUUCAUUCUGACUUUCUCAUAGCGGGCAAUCCGUGCGAAAGGGCACUCUCCUCUGCUAUUUGUACCAGAAGACGAAAGCAAGGAAUCCUAGACUUCCGAGACGAUAGGAGCGAGGCUGAGCGUUAUAAGGCGGCUAAGGAAAUCAGUUAAUCUCUUUCUGAAAUAGAUCUCCCUUCGUCUGGCUUAGCUCAUGGAAUAGUAGCUCUUCCGCUAUACUCUAGAGAGAAAGAAAAGCCCUGUUUUGCCCGCCUUAUUAGAUUCAUUUCUGAGACGACACCGAUUGCUUACGCUUUCUCGACCCGGGUGCUGGGUUGGGGCCUUCUGAUCCAGAUACCUUAGAUCUGGCUAUGCUUGCUUGCUGACCUGUGCUACCUAUUGUAUUCUUGACACAUUAGGGUAGGAAUAAGUUUAAGCUGAGCUGCCUAUCUCGCUGUGAGCGCUACCUAAGCACUGUCGAAGGCAUUCAGAGAAGAGUGGAAUAGUCCUAGAGUUGAGAGGGCUUCUCACUAACACUUUUGACUCACUGCCAAAAGGGAUUGAUUCCCGGGAAGGUAAAUGCUACCUUGACAGAAGACUCUACUAAACUUCCAUAACCUUGAAUGAAAAAAGAGAGAUUUUGAUAUAUCAUUAAGGGAAUAACUCUUCCUUUACUGAUUGGAAUGGUCUUAUUGAAAUGAUAUUCCUUUUAUUGCUUGCACCUACUAGAAGGAGGAGAGAUCCUUAAUUACUGAUUAAGAGAAAGCAAGGACGCUAUGAGUGCUCGCUAAUGUCAUCCCUUUGAUUGCUUACUUCGCUAUCCAAGCUGGAUGUUGUGAGAGUUUCCAGAUGAGCAGGAAGGGCUGGAGGACGUAUUACCGGAGGGGAGGACUGAAUAGAAAGAACGAAAGCGACGUACGUACUGGAUUGACUAGCGUGUGCCAACUAUUCUACGUCCCUAUUUCUUGCUUUUUCACAUCCCCUGAUUAGUGCACUCUUUCCCCCAAUUCACUGAUAGAGAAGAAAGAGAUAAGCAAUGACCGGACUAGACCAAUGAAAACGGACCAAGGUUUUUAUUCGUUAGCCAAGCGCGCCUAUUACAGCGCCUCUAUUACUGAAGCGAAAGCGAUGUGCCCUAUUAACCAGCCGAAGAGUAUCCUUAUAAAAGAAUGAAUGGGAAGCAGGCCCGGUCUAUAUUGCUAGAGUUAUGUUUACUGCACCCCCCAUGUACUCCUCUCUCUAUUCUGAUAUUUGAAUUCCGUCUCUAAGCUUCCCCCUUAGUGCCUUAUUAGACUUAUUUCUUCUUGACUAUGGUUGAAUGGAAGUUUCAUUUCCUAAGUCUCAAAUCCUUUUUUCAUUUUAUUGAGUCCCCAUAGUGCAUUCCCCUACAUAGUCUUUAGAGUAAUUUCUCACUAAGAAGGAUUGCAAUAUAAAAAAGAGAAUUCCAGAUUGAAGAUCUCUUGACCCAUAUACGAUCCAGUUCUACAUCUUAGCGCUGAACUAAUGAAUAGAGAUUGAGCUUCACUUCGCGAGUCGGGAAUGGCAUCAUUUAUGAAAAAGUUCUAGCNNNNNNNNNNNNNNNNNNNNNNNNNNNNNNNNNNNNNNNNNNNNNNNNNNNNNNNNNNNNNNNNNNNNNNNNNNNNNNNNNNNNNNNNNNNNNNNNNNNNNNNNNNNNNNNNNNNNNNNNNNNNNNNNNAUAUAUAUAUAUAUAUAAAUUAGAUUUCUCGAUGCUUUGAAUAGCGUAGUUUCGUACCCAGCAAGCAAGGGAUGGGACUUUCUUUCUGAUCGUAGACCACUCUUACUUGUUUGCUAAAGAGGUGAAUUUCGGGCCGUAGUAAUAGUACGUACCUCAGCGCCUAGAAGAAAGCUUUCACUAGCUUUUUUGACUAUAAAGAAAAAUUCCCAUUGAGAGCGAACUAAAGGAAUGGACGGGAUCAUGAUGCGAUCGACCUUUACCUUAGCAGUAAUAGAGAGAGCGUAGCUGUAGACUGGGGUAGGGGCCAAGACGGAUUCUAUAUAAUAAUGAAUGGAAUCUCUUUGAUUGAUUUCUUGCGACAGCUUAUCGAUGCUCGUUAGCGGUGAAGUCCCUCAAACCAGAAGUUUCAAAAGCUUUUGACUGGGCCUACGAGAGAAAUGAACUUUACAUACUGAUAUCGCAUACCGAAGGGAAGGCCUAAUUGCACCACUCCUCCUUACCUUCCGCCAGCCGUCCCCCUCCUAGCCUUGAACAGAAGCUCAAGUGCACGAAGACCCUCUGACUUAAGCAGGUGCUAUCACUUAAGAGAAUCUCCGGGUCCUUCUUAAAGACUACCACCUUCUCUUCGGGCAUUGGAAGAUGAAUCAACUCCAUAUAAGCUGGAUGAGCCGAGCCUUCUUUUUGGAUUGGUCAAGACCUAGACCUAAUGGUCAGGGCGUACGUAGCCCACGUCCCUUCCACCCAAAAGGAGUUGCUGGAAAGCCUGGAACCGAACCUGACCUCCUUAUGUAUGUUGCCCAUCGUUGGUUGACGCGAUGGUGGAAUUCCCCCUAUCUCGGGCGGGUUGCCCAGGGGAGUCAUAAAGGAAUGGACAUCCGGAACCAUGUUACGUGCCCACGAAGUUUGGAGUGGAUGCCCGACCUCCUCUACCCCCGAAUCCCUUGACNNNNNNNNNNNNNNNNNNNNNNNNNNNNNNNNNNNNNNNNNNNNNNNNNNNNNNNNNNNNNNNNNNNNNNNNNNNNNNNNNNNNNNNNNNNNNNNNNNNNAUAAAUAGCUAUAUGCGCUUAACACACAUUCUUUGGACUCACCCCCCAUAUAAGGCCCUCUAAACACCAUGUGUUAAGCAUACGACGACAGAGACCUUUACCUUAGCAGUAAUAGAGAUAGCGUAGCUGUAGACAGGGGCAGGGCCCGAGACGGAUUCUAUAUAAUAAUGAAUGGAAUCGCUUUGAUUGAUUGCUUGCGACAGCUUAUCGAUGCUCGUUAGCGGUGAAGUCCCUCAAACCAGAAGUUUCAAAAGCUUUUGACUGGGCCUACGAGAGAAAUGAACUUUACAUACUGAUAUCGCAUACCGAAGGGAAGGCCUAAUUGCACCACUCCUCCUUACCUUCCGCCAGCCGUCCCCCUCCUAGCCUUGAACAGAAGCUCAAGUGCACGAAGACCCUCUGACUUAAGCAGGUGCUAUCACUUAAGAGAAUCUCCAGGUCCUUCUUAAAGACUACCACCUUCUCUUCGGGCAUUGGAAGAUUCAUCAACUCCAUAUAAGCUGGAUGAGCUGAGCCUUCUUUUUGGAUUGGUCAAGACCUAGGACCUAAUGGUCAGGGCGUACAUAGCCCACGUCCCUUCCACCCAAAAGGAGUUGCUGGAAAGCCUGGAACCGAACCUGACCUAUACAAGGAGAGCGGAAGAUAACAAAAGGGAGACAAAGUCCUAACUAAAUCAUAACACAAGCUACCAUUCCAUCUAUCAUAUCAGUCGAGUCGAUCCGAUUCGUUCUUAUCUAUAGAUAACGCAAGGGAUAACUUAUGACCUCGCGGAUGGAGAGGGAUUCGAACCCCCGGUAUUCCUAUCAAUACUUCGGUUUUCAAGACCGACUCUUUCAACCGCUCAGACAUCCAUCCCCUUCUGUUACCUACUUUGACUCAUAUCUUCGGUAUACCUCAAUACAAGACAAGCACAGGAAAGGAUAUUCAACCAAAACCGGGCUAUCGCCCUAUCUAAGCAGGUUGACCCUCUCCUCUACGGAAGUCCUUUUUUCAUCUAUUUCUUUCAGUUCCUGUGUCUAUCGCUAUCGCCCUAUUAUCUCUCAAUUGCCUAUCCUUUAUAGAUGAGGGGGAGGCCCCAUCACUCUGUCUCGAAGGCAGGUUAAGUCAAGUGUAAAAUAAGGGUAGUGCAUUAAGAAGCUGCAACUAUCGCAUCAGCUAGAGCGGCAUUAGGCAUUGGAAAGGUGCUUAAUUCCGAUAGCGAUUUUAGGCUUUCAGAGCGGGAGAGGAAAAGAAAGAUGAGACCGGCUACAGGAGUUGCAGAGGCUCUCGAACUUUCUGUGAUCACUAUACGGUGAUUGUGAAAUUGGGAUCUUGAGGGUUUACAACUCCUUUUUUCUCUCUUCAAGUGGAAGGCAGGGAAGAUCAAAUGGAAUAGAACACUCUUCAUACUAUUUAUUCCAUUAUGUGCUUCCCUCUUCAAGAGCUAAGCUACUAGACUCAAAUCGUUUAUAGCAUCUCGUAUGGGACAUAUAUAGUCUUUACCCGAAUAGAGUACUUCAUUCUGACUUUCUCAUAGCAGGCAAUCCGUGCGAAAGGGCUCUCUCAUCUGCUAUUUGUACCAGAAGACGAAAGCAAGGAAUCCUAGACUUCCGAGACGAUAGGAGCGAGGCUGAGCGUUAUAAGGCGGCUAAGGCAAUCAGUUAAUCUCUUUCUGAAAUAGAUCUCCCUUCGUCUGGCUUAGCUCAUGGAAUAGUAGCUCUUCCGCUAUACUCUGGAGUGAAAGAAAAGCCCAGUUUUGCCCGCCUUAGUAAGACCCUCUUUCUGAGCCUUCCCCUCCUCCUUUUGAGUCAUCUUGGAUGAGAAGACAGAGACCUACUUCAUCGACUUUCAAUGUCCGUGUGGAAUGCAACUUGCUCGCUGAAGUGGAGGCGCUUUCCGGUAGCAGGGUUUGAUUCUCUUUUUACGAUUACCAUUCAAAUCUUAAUUAAGUACCAGAUAGAAGAAACUAUUAGUAAGGAGUUCACGUAUGCUUUUUUCUCAUCGUGUAGCCGGAUAAUUCGAAUACCGCUACAUCCUUCCAUUCCUCAGGAAAGAUGAUCUACUAGUUCGCUGGCUCCAUGGAGGUGAAUUUGAUCGGGUGAAAGUGGUUAUCGGAAAUCGAUAUCCUUUAUUGGGAUUGAGGAAAGUGUUCUUUCUCUACGAAAUUCUAAGUGAGGUCAUAAUAGUCCUUUCUUUCGAAGUCAACUUUCAGCAUCGAAUGAGAACUUCUCUAAUUAGAUCAAUUUUGAAAAAGGAUUGAAACAUAGUUGAGGGGGAAACUCUUGCUUUCGAACGAACAGAGACAGAGACAAAGGCGAAGGCAGCAGUCUAGCUUUUUCCUUUUGUUUUCGUGUUUNNNNN
rnacentral:lncRNA from 1 species